rnacentral:rRNA from 1 species
GUCUACAGCCAUACCACCUGAAUGUGCCCGAUCUCGUCUGAUCUUGGAAGCUAAGCAGGGUGGGGCCUGGUUAGUACUUGGAUGGGAGACAGUGACUAUGCACUCAAUUCCAGGCUAUUGCCUAUA